AAAAAAAAAAAACGACAGCUUCAAGCAGCGUCUGUGUUGCAAAGUCAAGCUUUUAGAGCAGGAGGGACCGGGGCAGGCAAGCGGUGCCUUCACGGCUCGAGCACCCGGCGUUGUGAACGUGCUGCGGGGGAGCCUGCUGUGUGUUCCAUCGCUCGGCCGGUGCGCCUCUCUUCCAUUCCAAUUAAUACAUCCGAGUACUUUGUCCGAGCUCACCGCGGAUUCGUCCCGCCGAACACUUCGCUUUGAAGACGUGAAUUCGGCUAGUGGGCGCGAAACGGGUGGACUCUUUUCCCCGAAAAUGGCUCGCCUUUCCCGGAUACGUUCGGGGGGCACCACCGGUGGCACAACAGGCGAUGGAGCAGCUCACCAGCCUAAUAUGUCAAUGUGGAGAGGCGGAGCCGACGGUCCGACAGACAGGCAGGGCACGCUGGAGAUGGCGGCAAGGAGGUGGGGAUGGCGAGCGAAAGGCGAGGCGGGGCGUGCCGGGGGCGAAGCCACAAACGAAAUCAGGUGUGUGGAUGGCGCACCUGGACACGAUUAACAUAUCUCCUCUCGAUGUAUAAAAGGGGAGAAGGAGUAGAGAAUGGGGUUGGUGAUGGUGCGGGGACAGAACAACAGACAACGACGGAGACGGAGCGCAAGAGUCAGACGGAGGUACAGACUGCUGGAAAGCAGACGGCGGAGCGAGCAGCAGAGGGAGACAGGAGACGCAGCGGAGGAGUGACCCGACCGCCGACAAGCUGGUUUUGAAAAAUAAAAGCGAGUCCA